AAAUGAGAAGCAAAACUUGCAUUUAGUUUCGACCUAAAAUUUUGAUUUUUAAUAAUCCUCAUUUA
rnacentral:tRNA from 1 species